GACGAACGCUGGCGGCGUGCUUAACACAUGCAAGUCGAACGAAGUGGCGAACGGGUGAGUAACGCGUAAUCAACCUGCCCUUCAGAGGGGGAUAACAGUUGGAAACGACUGCUAAUACCGCAUACUGAAGGAGGGGAUUGCGUCUGAUUAGCUAUGUGGGGGGGUAACGGCCCACCAAGGCGAUGAUAAGUAGCCGGUCCGGGGGGAUGAACGGCCACAUUGGGACGGAGACACGGCCCAGACUCCUACGGGAGGCAGCAGUGGGGAAUCUUCCGCAAUGGAGGAAAGUCUGACGGAGCAACGCCGCGUGAGGGAGGACGGCUUUCGGGUUGUAAAGCUCUGUUAAUCGGGACGCGGUACCGGAAUAGAAAGCCACGGCUAACUACGUGCCAGCAGCCGCGGUAAUUC
rnacentral:rRNA from 1 species